rnacentral:rRNA from 1 species
CCCUUAGAUGUUCUGGGCCGCACGCGCGCUACACUGACGAAGUCAGCGAGCAUGUCCUACGCCGACAGGUGCGGGGAAUCUUGUCAAACUUCGUCGUGAUGGGGAUUGAUUAUUGAAAUUCUUGAUCAUCAACGAGGAAUUCCUAGUAAGCGCAAGUCAGCAGCUUGCUUUGAUUACGUCCCUGCCCUUUGUACACACCGCCCGUCGCUACUACCGAUUGAAUGGUUUAGUGAGAUCUUCGGAUUGGCGCCACUGCGGCUCAGCAAUGGGCUCGGUGGAUGCCGAAAAGUUGAUCAAACUUGAUCAUUUAGAGGAAGUAAAAGUCGUAACA